rnacentral:rRNA from 1 species
AUGGCAAAGUUUUGGUGGGCUGGUUCACUUGACAAACAAGGAAUGCAUUGGCAAUCUUGGGAUAAAAUGGCAAUCCCAAAGAAUAAAGGAGGAUUGGGGUUUCGAGACCUACAGAUCUUUAAUGAUGCAAUGCUUGCCAAGCAAGCAUGGAGGUUACUGGAUAAACCACAAAGUUUAUGUGCUCGUAUGCUUCGAGCUAGGUACUAUGCUGAUGGUGAUAUUUUACAAGCAAAUUGCCCAAAGAGUGCAUCACCAACAUGGAGAGCGAUUAUAAUCGGAAGGAAUGUGCUAAAGGAGGGGCUUAUCAGGAGGAUUGGAAGUGGACGAACUACAGAAAUUUGGCAUGACAGAUGGUUGCCA